rnacentral:rRNA from 1 species
CCUAUGGGGUGCANCAGGCGAGAAAACUUUGCAAUGUGCGNAAGCACGACAAGGUUAAUCCGAGUGNUUUCUGCUAAAGGAACCUUUUGUCAGUCCUAGAAACACUAGUUGANGAAGGGNGGGCAAUANUGUGGU